rnacentral:rRNA from 1 species
UACGUAGGUGACCAGCGUUGUCCGGAUUUACUGGGCGUAAAGAGCGCGCAGGCGGUCGUUCAAGUCGAGUGUGAAAGCCCCCGGCUCAACUGGGGAGGGUCAUUCGAUACUGAUCGACUUGAAGGCAGGAGAGGGAAGUGGAAUUCCCGGUGUAGUGGUGAAAUGCGUAGAUAUCGGGAUGAACACCAGUGGCGAAGGCGACUUCCUGGCCUGUUCUUGACGCUGAGGCGCGAAAGCUAGGGGAGCAAACGGG